rnacentral:lncRNA from 1 species
GACAGUUUCCGUAAGUAAUUUUUCUUGACCAGCUAAGCAACCAAAUUCACACCAAAACUGUCGCAUACUUUAAACUCACAAAACAAUAUUAACCAUCCCCAAAGCCUCCAACAAAACAUACCCCACUGCUGUUCUACCUCAAUAUUAUUUCCAAAUUUCUCAACCAAGAUCUCUGUUUCAGUAUCACUUUCUUCCACUAUGAUUCCCCCCCUUUCAAUUCUCUCAUCAUCUAUUCAUCUCAGUUAACUACAUAAUAGCAGCAGACUGCCAAAGUUUGGUCUACUAUAGCUACCCAAUAAAUAUUACAAUCAUAUUUAAAAUACAUUAGCCACCCCCCUUUUUUCUUCUUCUUUCUCUCCUAUGUGAUGCAUGUUAUAUAGUUUUAUGUGUGUCGCAUUCUGCAGUCAAUUUCUAAUUCUUUACCCUCGUCUGUGAUCUAGCAGCUGCUUACCUAGCCUU